rnacentral:rRNA from 1 species
CAGCCGCCGCGGUAAUACGAAGGGUGCAAGCGUUACUUGGAAUUACUGGGCGUAAAGCGUGCGUAGGUGGUGGUUUAAGUCCGUUGUGAAAGCCCUGGGCUCAACCUGGGAAUUGCAGUGGAUACUGGGUCACUAGAGUGUGGUAGAGGAUAGUGGAAUUUCCGGUGUAGCAGUGAAAUGCGUAGAGAUCGGAAGGAACAUCUGUGGCGAAGGCGACUAUCUGGGCCAACACUGACACUGAGGCACGAAAGCGUGGGGAGCAAACAGGAUUAGAUACCCGUGUAGUCCCUGUCUCUUAUAC